AUUUGUAGGGACCUAUAUUAUAUAGGAUAUACUUAUUAUUUACUAUAUUUAUAGGGACAUGCAUGAAAUUAAUCGAAAAAAAAAAAAAUGCCAACCACCCAAAUUUGUAAAACCCUAAUCCAAAAUCCGAAGAAAACUAGAGAGCUUGCGCGCGCUCCGGCCAUGGCGGUGAAAGCCCCGACGAAGACGAUGACGUAGAACAAGCGACACCUCCACCAUCAACCUCACAAUUAGAAUAAUCACUGCUAAUUGAAGAUGUUGGCUUAAAGGGGUCAGAGGGCUGAGUCACGUUCGAAAUGGCUGGAGUUCACGAGGCUAGUCAGACUGAGUCACAAUCGAGACCCGUAAGCGCUGUGCUUGUACGCCUUAAAUAAACUGAUUGCGUAAUUUCUAAUAGCCCGAGCUUUUGGGAUUGAUGGUUAGCGCCAACACCUUGACACUAGAUGCAUAUGCUCAUUCCUUCCAUGACAAUAUACUCUUAAAACUUUCGGUUUAUCGAACACUUGGCUUGCGACGUGUGCUAUUGGUGGCUAAACUUACUGCUUUCAUAUUUCAGUGGUUCUCUAAACUUGAAAGUGCUUCUGAUCUUCCUUCCUUGUUGUGCUACAAAAUGACAGCAUUAAUUACUCUAUAGAAUCAGAGGAGAAAUGUUGCAAAGCAUUUUCUGAAACAUCAAAAGCAGGUGAGUUUGAGCACUGCAUUUCCGAAUUUAGGCUUUAUGUCUGAUACUUGUUUCCAGCUCCUCUGAUCUGAAGUUUCUCUCUUUCUUGUUUUGUUAUUAUUUAUGUUCUUUUCCCUGGGAUUUUUUAAUGAGAUUUUUUUUUUGUAGCUAAUAGUGAAAAGUAUUUUUAAACUGAUGUUUAAGGAAAAUUCAUUUUCUGCUAGACAAUCUGUGAGGAAAGCUAGAAGUUGAAACAACCUUUAACAAGAGCAGAGCCUUUCAUCCUGCUUUUAUUCACUUCUAUUUUCAAUCACCUCAUUCAGUGAAGGGCAUUGUCCUUAUGCUCGUUGUUCCGUUCUGAUGCUCGUAUUCUGUUCAAUCUGUAAUGAACUUAUACAGCGGUUGACUCACAUGUGGAGUUUGCUUCAUGUUCAAGAGGCAGUAUCUUCUGUACAUCUUAGGAGCAAACAUUUUUCUCAUGCUUUUUACGCUAAGUGCUCCUUGUUAUAAGCUGUAGUUUUGCAUUACAUUCUUCUCUAAAUUCAGAAUCUUAAGAAUCAGCACCGAGUCAUCUUUUAUUUGUUCCGGCCAAUAGAUUAUAUUCUGAAAUAGAACCCUUUCUCAGUUAGUAAGUCUGCCUUCCUUGCUAACUUAUUGCGGACGUCCGGUAGAAUUCUUUCUUUCUCAUAGUACUUGCUGAGUUUAUACUAUCUGUUUCUUCAAACUGGAAUUCAUACAGUUCGUUCACGUAAACAUCAUCGAUGGUGAACGCCCCUACUUUGACCUCCGUGUUGCUUUUGUCCCGUGCCAUCUCUCUCCUCGCAUCUUAUGUGCUUGUACAAAACCAUUACAUCUGACAAUGCAUCGGUGCCAGCUAAUGAUAUGGUGGAGAGACCUGAGUAUAUUCAAGCGCCCCAAAAGUAUGAACUACUGAAUGUCAUAUGAACUAUAUGGCAUAUGAACUAUAUUUGAUAAUGAAGGCAAAGUGGAGUGCAUUUUCAUUCCCAUAGUUUAAACUAAAGAGUUGUUUGGGAUAUUGGAGCUUAUCAUUCAUCAGAAUACAAUAAAGUGUGCAAGGAAAGGUAACAAUAAUAAUAGCAUACUACAAAAGAAGGAUUUUGGUUCAAUAAA